ensembl:snoRNA
UGUGACCUAACUGGAUAGAGUGGCAUCUGACUGGUGAUACUUAUCUCACCACCCAGUGAGUGACAAAGCAACCUCUUAUUUGUUCUAGCUUGACUGCUGGUCAGUUGGUCAGUGCCCAUGCAUAACUCAUGCCUUGGAUAUGUGG